GUGUUCAUUCAGUAGGCAGUCAGUAAAGCACGAGGAAGGACGCAAAGCGAAGCAGCAAAGAAGGACACAAAGCGGGGAAGAAAGGCUGAUGAGUCUAUGAUAAGUGAUCUACACCUUCUUCAUAACCCAAGUUUGUUCUGUUGUUUGCCCUGAUAAUUCUCAAUCCCAGUUUGGUCAACUCUCACAGUGGUGGACUUUAUAACAGCUGUCAGAAUGAGAACCAGAACAAUUACCUCAGUGAAAGCCAAAACAUUUUCAUUGUUCAACCAACCAAUGCUAAUCGUGUGACAUUGUUGAGAGUGUAUGUUCAUUCAGCAGACAGUUGGUGAAGGACAAAAAAACGAACACAAAGCAAGGAAGGAAGGCUUGAGAGCAGAGACUUUCAUUAUUUCCAUGCAUGGAAACUGAAAUGAUGGCAGUCCUUGUGUAGAGAUCUAGACACUUUGUUCCCAAGGUGAUGUGAAAUGGUGCGAAGUGUUGUGUAUGUCUUCUGCCUUCACUCUACUAGACCACUACUGCCUGGAUCUUCAGUAUCUCCAGUUAGUAUUGGUAAGUAUAUCUUCUUUAAAUUUACUGAAUUCAGCAAUUUCCUUAAACGGAUUUGUCCAUCAUUCAAUUUGGGCAAUAUCAUUUAUUGUUCCCCUACUGGUUGAAAACCAGUUUCAGGGACUAUAGGAAUGCGCUUUUCCGUCUGUCAUUUCGUUCGUCUGCAAUUUCGUGUCUGGUCCAUAUCUGUUAUCCAUGAAGGGAUUUUAAUAUUACUUGCCACAAAUGUUCCCCGUGAU